GUCUAUGGCCAUACCACCCUGAACACGUCUGAUCUCAUCUAAUCUCGGAAGCUAAGUAGGGUCAGGCCUAGUUAGUACUUGGAUGGGUGAGUUAUAUCCUAAGUACCACCCCAAGAGCAGUGUGGAGUGGAAGCAC
ensembl:rRNA 5S_rRNA 5S ribosomal RNA